GACGAACGCUGGCGGCGUGCCUAAUACAUGCAAGUAGAACGCACAGUUUAUACCGUAGCUUGCUACACCAUAGACUGUGAGUUGCGAACGGGUGAGUAACGCGUAGGUAACCUGCCUGGUAGCGGGGGAUAACUAUUGGAAACGAUAGCUAAUACCGCAUAAUAUUAAUUAUUGCAUGAUAAUUAAUUGAAAGGUGCAAUUGCACCACUACCAGAUGGACCUGCGUUGUAUUAGCUAGUGGGUGAGGUAACGGCUCACCUAGGCGACGAUACAUAGCCGACCUGAGAGGGUGAUCGGCCACACUGGGACUGAGACACGGCCCAGACUCCUACGGGAGGCAGCAGUAGGGAAUCUUCGGCAAUGGACGAAAGUCUGACCGAGCAACGCCGCGUGAGUGAAGAAGGUUUUCGGAUCGUAAAGCUCUGUUGUAAGAGAAGAACGGGUGUGAGAGUGGAAAGUUCACACUGUGACGGUAUCUUACCAGAAAGG
rnacentral:rRNA from 1 species